AGCAAAUGUACAACCGUGUCCUCCUCCCCACGAAUCGAACGGUUAGUCCCCUAGAGUUGGACGACUGGCUAUCAUAAAACGCGGCGAGCCCACCCCUCAAUGAUACCGUCCAAUUGCGCGCAGUGCCUGCUUGCCCGCCGUGGAUAUGCAGGGCAUUCAGCGGUUCCUCUCCCAGGGCCCGGCACCUAACGUCGUCUCACGGCACGUUGUUCGUACCGGCGUCGUGCUGUAGCCCUGCCCGGGCUGGAGCAGCUAGGCAUCGCGUUGUGCCGGUAGGUCUUGGGGAAGCGGUAACGUGUCGACGCUGUACCAGCUAGCCCGUUACGGCACUCCAAUCUACCCGCCCGUUAUCUCUCCCUGUUCUCUCAACAUGGACUGACAUCAUUCAAGCCUGGUUGGCCUACAUAGCUGGGGUAUUGAUUGGUUCCUAUCACUAACCGCUUUCGCCUAUUCUAUUUGAUUCCUUAUCGGAAAUGGAUCCAACGCCAGAGGAGGCUAUCCGGUGAUAUCUGGUGCGGAUUUAUGGAGACCACAUCUGCGUGGCAAUCCCUUGGAUAGGCAGGAGAUAACAGAAGUGUCGCAACACCUAUUUUCUGGCUAGGAAGCCCCUGCAGCGGUUAAAAGAAGGAGUUCUGUACGGUUCUAGUACUGAUCAGAUGGCGGGCUUUUAGAACCUGAUCCCAUCAGCCCUGUAACCACGGGAGCACUUCACACGGUGUGCGCGUCAGAUCGUCAAGGCGACCAGGGGACUUUACUACCGGAAAACAGCCUCAGUCAGAGGUAUUAAGUUACACGGCGAAUUUUGUUAUUGCCAUUCCGUAUUGUUAAACUGUUUUUGAAUCACCUGAGCUUUCGCAUACUCAGAUCUCUCGAAGCAGAUCUGACAGCAUCUCACAGAUCUGUUGAUUAAUGAAAAGCAAACACCUCGGGACAAAUAGUGUUCCGCGGAGCAUUGGAAUGGACUUCCGAAGUUGAAUCAGCAGCGCUGUCAGGACCAUUCGUCUAUGGUUUGUAUUUUAUCCGUAGACCUUUCAGUUCCUCUUUGUCUCCAUCCUUUGAAUCGACUUUUGCCUUGGUGCUGCGAAGGUGAAUUACCAGCCUUUUCUAAGGUGACGAUACUGACAUAACCGUCAGUGCUGUGAUUACCAUUUCGACUGGUGAGGUGCAGCCUGAGAAAACAGAAACGUGACGGGGAGGUGUCAUGGCCGACCGGUGCCUGUCUCGAAUGUCUACCUAGGCUCAGGAGGGAGUUACUUGGGGUUAAGGAUUCCGCUCCGUGGAACGUGGACGUGCUAUGUUCGGGACGGAACCAGCGCAGUACAGGAAGUAAGGGUGCCAUGGCUGCCGCUUGCUGCUGCUGCAGCCCAAGGCUGAAUGAAGACAACGCCAGGUUCAUCCUGUUAGCCUUCUUCAUCACUGGCUACAUGAUCAUCGGAGCCGCCAUUUUCUCGGAGUUUGAAUACGACAAAGAACAGGAGGACCGAGGGGAGUACGACACAGCCCUGGAACUGUUCCGCCAGCGGUACCCGGACAUCAACAUCUCGGACCUGAACCAAUUACUGGAGGCGCACGCCGAGGCUAGCUCACGAGGCCUACUCACCUCCAAAAGGCCCCGUUGGGACUUUCCCGGGGCCUUCUACUUCGUAGGAACAGUGGUGUCAACAAUAGGGUUUGGGAUGACGACCCCACAGACGGAUGAGGGGAAGAUCUUCCUGCUGUUUUACGGACUGUUCGGCUGCGCCUCCACCAUCCUGUUCUUCAACCUGUUCCUGGAGCGGAUCAUCACGUGUUUGGCCUUCUGCAUGAAAAAGUGCCACGAGCGCGACCUGAGGCGGAAAGGCCUCCUCAACCAGCAGCCGUCCAACAGUCGCAGCUCGGAGGGAGACAGCGAUUCCCUGGAGGCGUGGAAGCCCUCCGUGUACUGGGUCAUGCUGUAUCUUGGUAUAGCGGCGAUAGCGAUAGCCUGCAGCGCCGCCGCCAUGUACAGUCCCGUAGAGAAGUGGACCUACCUGGAAUCCAUCUACUUCUGCUUCAUUGCCUUCAGCACCAUCGGGUUCGGGGAUUACGUCGCCAGCCAGAAUGUCAAGUACCAGAACCAGCCGUUUUACAGGUUCGGCAACUUCAUCUUCAUCCUCAUCGGGGCAUGCUGCAUCUAUUCACUAUUCAACGUCAUCUCCAUCAUCAUCAAGCAGUUCCUGACGUGGAUCAUCAGGAAGACCAUCAAAUACUGCUGUCGCUGCUGUAAGAAGAAGCAGCAGCCCAAGGGCCGGCCAAGGAGGAACGCCAUCACCCCUGGCCACCUCAAGAGACGGCUGCAGAUGCAGUCCAGGGCCAACCACGCGGACAACUCGCGGUCGCCCCCCGCGGACGUGCCGGCUCCAGAACCCGACAGGCUCAGCUACGACAGCGACUCGGACAGCAGGAGAAUGUCGGGAGAAAUGAUCUCCAUGAGGGACUUCCUCGCGUCAAACAAGGUCAGCCUCGCCAUCAUGCAAAAACAGCUCUCGGAGACGGCGAACCACGCACGCGCAGCCCCUCCUCCCAGGCACUCCCACUACAAUGGUGGAGGGCUGGCGGGAGGUGUUGGGGCACUCGCGAUCUUGAACAGCAAACUAGCAGGAGAAGCCAAUAAGCAGUGAAACCACGAAGGAUGUUCGUCACAAAGCCAAAGUGUUGGCGUUUCAGCAGAUCACUUAGCAUUGCUACGAACCGAUUUGAAGGUAUCUAAAGGUAUAAAGCCAAACUGAAACAAAAGAUGGAAUGCUUCAUUGCCUGUUGGGGUUCUCCCGAGAGAAGUGAAUAUCUCUACUAGUAUUUCUACAGAGAGCAGUCACUAUGUCACGAGCGCAUCUCGCCGUCACUAGCUUGGAAAAGUGACUGGCAAGAAUGCUUCAGCACAUGCUUCCCGUACAAUGGAUGCGGGCACGGCUACACGAGACACCAGAGAAGCCGCCUUAUUUCUACUCAGUGACGUUGAUGAAGACAUGUGAGCAUGAAAGGUUUCGAUAGAUCAACUGCAGACAUCCCAGAGAGAAAAUACAACAACAACACACAUGUGGAAAAACGGACUUCCGCCGAGCAGUGUGACAGGAUGACGUAUUGGCAAUAAACUGUGAUGCGGCAGCGAUGACUGAACAUGGCGGCAACGGCCAACAAAUUGUCACCAGGUCAAACAACAGACGAAGACGUGAACUAACUCUUAUAGACGUUAUUCCCCAUACGGACGCUUUGCGUAACCGUGUCGACUAUUCCAGUGAGCAACUGGUCUGUUUGGUGUGGGAAUCUAUCAUAAGCAGCCAAGCAGCCACGAGUCAUAGUGUAAGGACAGCAUGCUCACCCAUGACUGAAAAAGCUUAGCACGCCUCAGUAUCUACAUUGAUGUUGCUACAGCUUUCGGCUAACAGACGUCAUACAAGGUCAUCCGCAAGCACUAGUUGAGAAGACCUUGUCUUUAGUUCUUUCUCUACCGCAUAAGACUUUGUACUUAUAACGUUCGCACCACGUGGCUACAAGCGUGAAUUAAGGAUGUAAACUAUCCUUGCAUUACAAGCCUUUCCUCAGGAACUUCUGCUCUAAAACACAGGACGUUUAAAAGGUGGUCGCCAUCUUAUUCAAUGGCUUAAAGACGCUUAACAUACCCAGCUACGUCGUUGAUGAUACAUGUUGGUCUUGUUUGGAAAUACCUCCACCUUUCAUUUGACCUAAUCAUUGUCAUUGGUUGUUAGACAGGCACUCAAGUUUGCCAUAUUUUCUUUCAAAGAAGUAAAAUUCUGGCUUUUAAUUUUUGCCCUGACUACCAACAUUUUACGGAAGACAGAGCCCCACUGACAUAAUGUGACCCUUUCUAAUGACCCCGUAUGUGAGUGCAGCUGGUAGUAUUCCGUCUAUGAGAAGGAUCGUCGCUCUCAUAGAUACAGCAUCCAAAUCAGCCGUGUCGUGGUCCAAACGAUUAGAAGAGAAACUUUUAGAAUUGUUAAUAACGGGUCCUUGCUCAUAGACCUACUAAUAGUGCCUACGCAACAACGAUACAUGUACGUUGUGGUCACAAACAAGGUUGGAUGUUCGGUCGAAAAUAACCAGCCCACGAUACCUAUUUUUCUAUAGAACACUACAAGCACGUAAAGAUCGCAGGCCUCCACCAAGGUAGAAUAGUUUUGAAAGUUUCCCUGACUGGCAAUAGUGAAAAUAAUUUUACCUGUCAAAUUUCUUGACUAUUCCUAAAACAUGACCAAUCGACCGAUUAAAUCUUAAAUGAAGACAGAAAGUCCCAACAAUAAAGCGACCAGUCUGGGAACUCAUAACAGUUUUGAAUAAUCCAGUACACAGACUGAAUCAAGUAAACCUACUUUAUUGCUAAUCAUUGCCACUGCUAUGUUCAAACAGUAAAGGAAAAGCGGUUUCUCCAAAGAACUCCUGACGCGAUGAAAUAAUCCGUAAUUUCUGACUGUUGAUGUUGCUAGAACACCACCGCCUUAUUCUUGCCAUGAACACCGCCAAGACAACGCGAGUGGCUCAAAUAUUGGAUGUAAAUACCCUCGAAGAAAGACAGCACCACAUCGCUCUUAAAGUUGUAUAUUUUUUUCCAAAGCGUUCAGUGGCCAUGAAAAAUGAGCUUCUACCACAGGCGUUGAGCACAGGGUGUGAAGGAGACAGCUGAGAGGGAGUCGGCGUCCACGAUAGUAUCGCUGCAGUUCGAUGUCCGGGACUGUCCACUUUACAACCGCGAGAGAGGGGGAGACCAUGAAAAUCAUUGAAGCCCUCUUCCCCAUGAAAUAGCGCUGUAUGGCGUGCGGAAAUCUACGGGCUGAAAACCUGAAAGCCUUGGCAAAACGUCUGACAGUUCUUUAACGAGCUAUGAUCAUCAUCACGUGGUGGGGCAUAAACGGUAUCGUAUCUGAAAACAUAUAAACCUGUAAUUGACGCCCGAGAACUGCGUGAGAUAAUUGGUUUAAUGGUUUUGGCAUAAACGGGAUCUAGUCAGUUAUGUUCGGCUUCCCAUGACAUACGCACAGAGUAUUUUAAUUUUACGAGCCCUGUGCAAUUCUACCGAGGGUCAGAUAGGACGGUUGGCGUCCAUCUAUUUAAUCGGAUUUUGUUGGGGCCAGUGGGGGUGGUUUCAAGUCUUUACAUGUCGUUUGUUAACAGCAAUGGCUAACUAUUCUAUGUGUACCACCCUAAAAUUGAAGAAGCAGUCUGGAACGUAGACAGAUACGUAGAUUACAACGAAGACUUUUCAUACGCUGCAUUAAUUAUAAAAGAAACGAGGUGACUGCAUGCUACAUCAACUAUCGAUAAAUCAGUACAUAUGAAGCAUGGCCUUAAAAAUGCACGCUGCUUGAAUUCUAACUCCUGUGAUUAUAGACAUUUUGUAUCUGCGAUGGUGUGAACGGCCAGAUGAAGGCUGUUCUGAGAAAGUUUUCCAUGACCAGGGUUUCGCAACAGAUACGACCGUUAGACAGCCAAUUCCUCCCUCCCUCUGAAGUGUUCCUUUGCAAUCAACGGAGGAUUUGCUCCACCAUUCAUCCCGAGGUUGACCGCCCCUCAUUACGAGUCCUCUCACAGACAAAACAGGACGGAGAUUUGUCAGAGAAGCCCUGUUACCUAAAAAUGUCUAGCUCCCCCGGGUAUGGGAACGAGAUCCCAUCUACCGGCCGUGCACACGCACACUGUCCCAGGAUUAACUAGACAGGAACACCUCUGUGUCUCAUGCCGCAUAGAAUCCCAAACGGCCAAACACACCCAGCAGAUCAGUCAUUCUGGGGACGCUCUCUCGCGAUUAGUGCCUGGAAACCCUCCCGUUUGUCUCCAUACGACAUCAACAUCAAGUUCCAAUUAUGUAUAAUGCCCUAGGCUCCCAUUCCUUGAAUGAAGAUGAUUUCUUGUUUGAUUCCUAGAAACAUACAACCUGAUCCGAAAUGAUCCUAUUGAAAUGCUUCAUCUUACAAGAGACUUGGAAGCCAACGCGGGACAUUACUGCAGAGUGGACUGAGUGAGAAACGUGACGAUGUGUCGCUUUACCGUCAACAGAGCAGGAUUUACAAAUCGCUUCAGAAAAAUUGCUGAUUCAAAAAGUGUUGAAGAUGACUAAGGUCAACGAUAGUCGUUUUACGUGGCAUUUGUAAAUCAUUGUAAAUAUAGAGAAUAUGUAGAUAGAUAGUAGUCAGUCGAAGGGUUUUUAAGUAAAGUAAUCGCGACAUCUAGCGGUGCUUGUCAAACUGCAGGGUAAAUUGCCAGGGGCUGUAUUCUAUUGUUAUCAAUAUCGGAGUAUCUCUACCGUGUGUAUCAUACUAAAUGUAGCGAAUAACACCAUCAGUAUGCAUAGGUUUUUCCGUUUUAAGCAUAAUGCAGCGAUAGUUAACAUUUGACAAAAAUGUCAACGAUAAACGAUGACUUUUACCACAUCUCAAAUUGCAUGGCAAUGAGUUUAAUGGUAAAACUGCAGACAUGCAAAGUCACAAUACACGUCCUCUACUUGUUGUGCUCAAGAUAUUGACUUCCAAUAUUGAAUCGCAUCGAUUUUAUAAGGAACUCUAAGUUGUAUAUACUUUGGAUAUUAUAACGAUAUUGUUAUACAGGAGAGAAAGAAGAUUUGGAUCCAGGUUUACGUUGUGUUUCUUAGUUACUGUUCUUUUAUCUUCACUUAGGUGUAUAAUGCACUCUAUCAUCACAUGUCACUUUAAAUGCGUAAUAGAUUAUACUGAACUUGUUGUACAGCUAGAACAGUUGGUUGUAUAUUUGAAUAGUUCAUUGUAUUUUUACGGAGGCAUGAACUUGACUUCCGAGUGAAGGGGAUAAGAGACAAUUGGACAAAUACAUCGUUAAUUUUCAAGACGUUUGAUUUCAAAAAGUGGAUUCUAUUAUUGCUUCAUUAUGGAAAUGCACAUCGAAAAUAAACAUUUAAAACAAAAAUAAGCAGAAGUCAGGAUCACUCCUCCCGUAGUUCCUGCUAUGGUAUAACCAAGAAGCUGAUCAGUGAGCACAGUCGGGAUAGACUGUAGAGAUGGUGACAUACUCGCUGUGCGGAGGGCAGAGCUGUAGCCCCUUUUCGUUGUAAUUUUUCGUUCCUAUCCUCAAGCUUAUCUCAAGAUACUGAAGAAAGCUCUUGUUUGUGCACAAGUUCCUAUGCAAUAAACCUUUCUAUACACAACACAAUUUCAACACAACUGCGCCGUGAUUUGUUUCUUAGCGGUACAGCAGACAUUUGCACGCUGGUUAAAGGUCUCAGUACACAAUUUUUUGCCUACGAAGAUUUACAAGGUUAAGGACCCCAAAGUGACGAGGUUCGACGCCUCAGAAUUUAAAGCAGGGUGCAGAAACAAUUUACAAGAAUUUAAUACGUUGAAGUGCAGGGUACAACCUACAAAAUAUUUGGAAAUGAGCAUAGAUUUGUUCUCGCUUUUCUAUAAAAGACACUUUGAUUUGACCCAAGCGGAAGUCAUCGAACUGCAGGCGACGCACAGGCUGGCCUUGUAUAGUACCAAAAUUCACGCCGGUCGAAGAAGCAUCGCAAUCCAACUUAUAAAGUCUAAAAAAUGAUGUAUUCCUCUACCAUUCACCACAGUUUCCACCUCACUGUUGUGCAUGGAAGAAUAACUAUACGGCCUUUGCAAGUGCUGUGACGC